AAUAAGUGCAGUUUUACACUAUUUACGUUCAACGUUUGACUGUUCGUCUUAUUUGAAAUUUUUUUUAUGAUUAGUAUUUUUAUUGCUAUUAGAUGAUAAAACAUGAAUAGUACUUUAUGUGUGACUAAAUAUUUUCAAAUUUUUCAUAAUUUUUUAAAUAAGACGGACGAUCAAACGUUGGGUAUAGAUAUUCUGCACUUAUU
rfam:Oryza nivara chromosome 7, whole genome shotgun sequence.